AUACUACUCCCUCCGUCCGGAAAUAUUUGUCAUCAAAAUGGAUAAAAGGGGAUGUAUCUAGAUGUAUUUUAAUUCUAAAUACAUCUCUUUUUGUCCAUUUUGAUGACAAGUAUUUUCGGACGGAGGGAGUACAUC
rnacentral:pre_miRNA from 1 species